rnacentral:rRNA from 1 species
UACGUAGGCAGCGCGCGUUGUUCGGAGUUACUGGGCGUAAAGGGUGUGUAGGCGGUUGUUUCAGUUUGGUGUGAAAUCUCCCGGCUCAACUGGGAGGGUGCGCCGAAUACUGAAUGACUAGAGUGCGGGAGAGGUGAGUGGAAUUCCUGGUGUAGCGGUGAAAUGCGUAGAUAUCAGGAGGAACACCAGCGGCGAAGGCGGCGCUCUGGGCCGGUACUGACACUGAGGAGCGAAAGCGUGGGUAGCAAACAGG